GAAAACAGCAAGCCAAUAGUAAAUGAAGCUAAAUAGUCCAAAAUCAAGCAAUUUUCACUGAAUUUUUUUUUUAAAACAUUUUACUUCCUAACAUAUGGUAAAAUAUGCAAACCAAGAUAAAAAAUACCAAAUUAAAAAAAAAAAAAAAGAAGACAUUAGUCCACUUUAUGGGCGGUUUUACCAUAAGCUUCAAACUUUAUACUAUAUUCACAUUGUACAAGCCCAUUUUGCCCGGCCCAUUACAAACCCAUCUUAAACAAACCAACUUAAAAUAACCCAAACCCAACCCCCUAAACACCGGCCCAAAACUUGGAGCCCAAUACACCUAAACAGACCCUAGACCUAACCCACUAGCCCAAAUAAGCCCAACUCCUUAAACCCUAACAUUUUCAUAAGCCAAAAAUAGUGAACCUAACCCUAGGUGCGCCGCACCUAGGGUCGGCCACUUGCCCUGCCACCGCCACUCUGCUGGCCGCCGCACAUCACGUCUCUACCCACCUGCUCCACCGCCUUCAAAUGGCCUGCAAGAAAGGACAAGAAAUAAUAUAAAAACAUUGUAAAAUGGCUAUAAAAAGCCAUUCAAAACCAUUGUAAGGGAUUCGGUUUUCCCCUCUUUUAAAAACACUUUCAGAAAUCAAAAGGAAACAAAAAAAUUUGAAGGUGAUUUGCGAUUCUCCUGUUUCGGAUUUGUUUAUUUUUCUUUUUCUUUUUCUUCUCUCUACAUCUACAAACAAAGAAACAGAAAAAGGAAACGAAACGGUACCUGAGUCACUUCGCUUGCGUUGUCGCCGGAGUCCGUCUUCGGGUCUCCGAGAUCGGACCCCGAGGGCGACGUUUGGGGGUUUCGCUCCUCGGCCCUACGAGUCUAAAGCCCGAUCCUUAGUUGGUCCCUGAAACGGGGUUAAAAACCGACCGUUUAGAACCUCCGACCACCGCAUGUGGCGGGGUCAUGGGUGGCCCGUUUAGCCAAAGGAAAAGGCCGGCUGAGGGUUUCUAUUUUUUCUCUGAAGUUUUUUUUCUAAACAAUGAAAGAAUGAGUUUUUUAAAAAAAUUUUGUCUUAAAUAAGGUUUUCAAAACGGCGCCGUUUGGGCUUAGGGUUCAGAGACCAAAAACGGCGUCGUUUUGGUCUCUGACCCACGCGGUGACCCGACCCAAGGGGAGGAUCCGCGUGUUUCUGACUUUUGGGUUAUUUGCGCAAUGGGUCCCUCCGAUUUUGUGGUACUUUCAGGGAAGUUUUCUGCACUUUUGCAAUUUGGCCACAAAGUUUUGUUUUUCUCUCAAUUUGGCCCACUGCUGCGCUGCGUUUUGAGGCGGCUGGGUUAUUUUCCCAUUUGAUCCCUUCGUUUUUGGCGCGCUCUGUAAUUUAGUCCCUUUUAUUUUGAAUUCGCCCAGUUUCUUUUGUUUUUAUUUCGAUUUAGC
rnacentral:lncRNA from 1 species